GAUGAACGCUGGCGGCGUGCUUAACGCAUGCAAGUCGAACGGUGAAGGCGGAGCUUGCUCUGCUGGAUCAGUGGCGAACGGGUGAGUAACACGUGAGCAAUCUGCCCCUGACUCUGGGAUAAGCGCUGGAAACGGCGUCUAAUACUGGAUACGAGCUGCGAAGGCUUCUUCAGCAGCUGGAAAGAAUUUCGGUCAGGGAUGAGCUCGCGGCCUAUCAGCUUGUUGGUGAGGUAAUGGCUCACCAAGGCGUCGACGGGUAGCCGGCCUGAGAGGGUGACCGGCCACACUGGGACUGAGACACGGCCCAGACUCCUACGGGAGGCAGCAGUGGGGAAUAUUGCACAAUGGGCGAAAGCCUGAUGCAGCAACGCCGCGUGAGGGACGACGGCCUUCGGGUUGUAAACCUCUUUUAGCAGGGAAGAAGCGAAAGUGACGGUACCUGCAGAAAAAGCGCCGGCUAACUACGUG
rnacentral:rRNA from 1 species